CAGAGAUGCCCAGUUUUGAGAAUUAUCUCUACUAAUUAUCAACUGCAUGAUCUAGGUAGGCUGAGAGAGACAUUGAACAAGGGAUUCACAGAGAAGUAGAAGCUUGUAUGGAAGCUUGGCAUAAUUUUUUGAGGAUCUUCUAAAGCAUUAAGAAUGAUGAGACCCUCCAAAUCCACCCAGGCUAGACACCACUUCCAAAGCCUCCUAGAUAACAUUCCUGAACAUCGAGACAGACCAAGGACAAGUGGACUCUGCCUAAGUGACGCCUACAGGAAUUUGAAGAUA